UACGAAGGGGGGCUAGCGUUGCUCGGAAUCACUGGGCGUAAAGGGCGCGUAGGCGGCCGUUCAAGUCAGAGGUGAAAGCCCAAGGCUCAACCUUGGAAUUGCCUUUGAUACUGUUCGGCUAGAGACCGGAAAAGGUUAGUGGAACUGCGAGUGUAGAGGUAAAAAUUCGUAGAUAUUCGCAAGAACACCAGUGGCGAAGGCGGCUAACUGGUCCGGGUACUGACGCUGAGGUGCGAAAGCGUGGGGAGCAAAGCAGGAUUAAGAUACCCC
rnacentral:rRNA from 1 species